rnacentral:rRNA from 1 species
CCUACGGGUGGCUGCAGUGGGGAAUAUUGCACAAUGGGGGAAACCCUGAUGCAGCGACGCCGCGUGAGUGAAGAAGUAUCUCGGUAUGUAAAGCUCUAUCAGCAGGGAAGCAAAUGACGGUACCUGACUAAGAAGCCCCGUCUGACUACGUGCCAGCAGACGCGGUAAUACGUAAGGGGCAAGCGUUAUCCGGAUUUACUGGGUGUAAAGGGGGCGUAGACGGCGCUGCAAGUCCGGAGUGAAAGCCCAGGGCUGAACCAUGGUACUGCGUUGGAAACUGUGGAGCUUGAGUGCGGGCGGGGCAGACGGAAUUCCUAGGGUAGCGGUGAAAUGCGUAGAUAUUAGGAGGAACACCGGCGGCGAAGGCGGUGUGCUGGACCGUAACUGACGUUGAGGCUCGAAAGUGUGGGGAGCAAACAGGAUUAGAUACCCCAGUAGUC